rnacentral:rRNA from 1 species
CCCACCUGACCCCAUGCCGAACUCAGAAGUGAAACGCUGUAGCGCCGAUGGUAGUGUGGGGUCUCCCCAUGCGAGAGUAGGGAACUGCCAGGC